UUCCGGUUGAUCCUGCCGGAGGCUACCGCUAUUGGAGUUCGAUUAAGCCAUGCGAGUCGCGAGUCUUAGGGACUCGGCGUACCGCUCAGUAACACGUGGGUAACCUGCCCUAUGCUGGGGGAUAACCUCGGGAAACUGAGAAUAAUACCCCAUAGUUCACCACGCCUGGAACGGUGGGUGGAUGAAAGCUCCGGCGGCAUAGGAUGGGCCUGCGGCGUAUCAGGUUGUAGGGGGUGUAAUGUACCCUCUAGCCAUCUACGCGUACGGGUGUUGGGAGACAUCGCCCGGAGAUGGAUUCUGAGACACGAAUCCAGACCCUACGGGGUGCAGCAGGCGCGAAAACUUGGCAAUGCGAGCAAUCGUGACCAGGGAACUCCAAGUGCAUCGGGUAAGACCGAUGCUUUUCUUGACUCUUCAAAGGUCUUGGAAUAAGGGGUGGGUAAGGACGGUGCCAGCCGCCGCGGUAAUACCGGCGCCUCAAGUGGUAGUCGCUUUUAUUGGGCCUAAAACGUCCGUAGCCGGUUUGGUACAUUCGUGGGUAAAUCAAGGCGCUCAACGUCUUGAAUUCUGCGAGCACGGCCAGACUUGGGACCGGGUGAGGUGUGGGGUACUCUCAGGGUAGGGGUAAAAUCCUGUCAUCCUGAGAGGACCACCUGUUGCGAAGGCGCCACACUAGAACGGAUCCGACGGUCAGGGACGAAGCCUAGGGGCACGAACCGGAUUAGAUACCCGGGUAGUCCUAGGUGUAAACGCUGUGGACUUGAUGUUGGGAGUGCUCCGAGCGCACUCAGUGUCGAAGCGAAGGUGAUAAGUCCACUGCCUGGGGAGUACGGUCGCAAGGCUGAAACUUAAAGGAAUUGGCGGGGGAGCACCGCAACCUGAGGAUUGUGCGGUUUAAUUGGAUUCAACGCCGGA
rnacentral:rRNA from 1 species